AUAUUUUGCAUGUGAGAAUGUGAAUGCUACAAUCCUCAGCUCAGCCAAGAGGGCUUAAUAAAUGGUGAAAUUUUACAUCUUUAGGGAGGAGCAACAUAUUUGUGAAAAAGUGUUGGUUAAAAUAAACACCAAAUUCCCAAGGAGGGACUCCAAACUCUGAUGAUGUGCAGCACUAAUCAUUUCAUUCCUGUGGAAAAAGUUACUCAGAGAGUGCAGCCCACUUCAUUCUUCUGUUCAUGUUCUCAUUCUCCCAUUGUCAAUGGCAAACAAGUCCUCAUCUCUUCCUAUCUGAGUUUUCUUUUGUUAUAGGAUGAACCAGGAGUGGACCAACAAAAUGUGUCCUUUUGGCAAUUUGCAAAAGAAGAAGUGAUUUGAUGUUAUAUUUUUUUUAAAAAAAAAGUGACAGGGCUUGUAUUUUACAAAUGAAACUGAGUUAUCAUCUGCUAGAAAAGUGUGACAUACUGGGAAUACCCUUGCAUCCUGGUUCCUCUUUAUAGACAGCUGUCUGUUCUUCACUAAGUCACUUUACUUUUCUAGGUUUCAGUGUUGGGUUGUGUCAAAGGAGAGAGAGGUACCACAUCAGCCUUUCCCAGCGUGUGCCUUGUAGAAACUAGUUCUGCAGGAUGUUUGUGAAUAGUCAAAGCAAAGGUAGGAAUUCACUGAUCAAACAGGACAAAGAGAGGCAUUCAAGAUGGAAGAAAUAAUAUGUGUGAAAGUACAGAGAUAUGAAAAAGCUCUUCACUCAUCUAUUCAACAAAUAUUUAUUGAAAACCUAUUAUGUGCCAGGUGACGACUACUGGAGUUUCAGUGUUCACAGAUCACCAUCAAACUUUGGAGUGACUGAGACCCCCAAAAAGUGUGCCCGGAGUAAAACAAGAAAGAUAAGGCUCAAACCAACACUGAGGGAGCAAGCAGAUGAAAUUAUAUUUGCAAAGAGGACAGAGAAGGCAACUUUAAAUUAUUAGUAAUGGAUCCAAGAAUCUCCUAUGGACCACAAAUCUGAUUUCACCUAGAUCUUCCACUUGUUCUUUUAGGAAAAACUGCAUAACUGUGAGUAGGAAAAUUUAUUGUUGGUUUUUCUUUGUUCCCUCAAAGUUGCCUCUUCUUUCAUCAUAGGUGAAAAGACUUCAACCUCAUGGCUCUUAAGACUCAUGAAGAGAACUAACUGCCAGAUUCAUUAGCAAAUACCGAGAUUGGGUUCCUAGAACAUUCCAGGGGACCUCACUCAACUCUCAAAACAUGGGAUGGACCUAUGUUUGCCAAAAAUUCAGAGUCAUCAUUCUGAAUUCAUUCAUUCUGAAGUCAUCAGAAUGGCCUUCACAAAUAACCUCAGAAGUUAAUUAUUAUUUGGAAACCAAUAUAACUGUUAUAACUCCCAGAAUUCCAGUCAGUUCAGAGCUAUAGUUAUACCCUAACAUCUGACAAAGUGUCUGGCACAUAGUAGGCCCUCAUUAAUUUCCUGAUGAAUGAAUGUCACAUACAAGUGAGCGGGAAAUGUAAAUAAGAAAUUUGAGGACAGCUCAUAAUCAAAUACUGAAGAUCCAAAAUGAAGUAAUGCUUCAACUUGUAAUAUCAUUGCAUUGUUUAUCAAGUUUUGAACAAAAUACAACUAGUCAUAUUUUCAUUGCCGGGGUAAAUAAGUCUGUUGCCCCAUAAAGAACUAACUUGUCUUCAAGCUCAUAUUCUACCAAUUCAUGAGAUUCAGAUUAGUAUAGUUUAACUUAAACUGCUACAUAUAAUCAAUUGAGCUCAAAAUUCUUUCACAACCCACUUUUCCAGACCUGAGAACAUAUUUCAGACUUGAAGAUUGACUGUCAUCAUUUCUUCCUCUACCCAAACUAAUAAGCCAAUCCUUUCCAUAGUAACAGAAAAAAGGAAUGGGAAGGAGUAAAAUAGUCCAUAAAAGUUAGCACAAUUAGAUAGAUAUGUAGACACAAAUACAACUGGCAGUAGGAUGAUUAGUAUAAAUUUCAAUACCACAACUUUUGGAGGAAUGGCACAACUUUAUUGCAGCCUUACCACUUGUGAACGAUGUAGUCACUGCUGGUCUGUGGCAGUGAAUGCGCUUCAUAGCACCCAAACACCAUCAAAGGUUCUUUAUUUACCUUACAUCUGCCAAUAACCCAUGUUCUCGAAUUUUCUGUGUAAAAGAGCUCCAUGUGGGUCAGAUUUAAUUUCUUGCAGAAAUACGAUAUGUCACUUCCAAUAAAAGCAACAAGGAAAGAGAGAUUCACACACUAACUUAUCAAGGAUGGCAGCUCAUGCUGGUGUUUGGAAUAGUUUGGAGGUAUUGUUUUGUUUACUGAGCCAUCAAGUUCAAAGGAAGGUGCACAAGCCUGAUUAGAAUGGCCUUCCCAGAACUGUUUUCCAAAUAGAAAACAUAUGCCCCUGUGGGGAAAGCUCUUCAUUCCCAGAUCCAAGUGAUUAUGAAAACAGCUUGACUCUGGGGAAGGAGAAUCUAGAAUAAUAUCUUUCUUUAACAUAGUACUGUCCCGAGGAAAGUCUAGGGCAAACUUCUGAUGGCCAAAGUAAAAGGCACACCAAGAGUGACUACAGGCUUUUACUUAAUGUAGAUAGACACCAAGAGGAGACUUAGACACUGUUAUGUUCAAUCCUCUGUAGAUUCCUCCAGCACAGGUUAAUGGACACCUCAGAAGAUCACCUGAUUAGACCUGAAACCACAUAGCAAAUCCAUGGCCAAGUUAGAGCCCUUGUGCUGGUCUCUCUCUCUCUCUUUUUUUUUUUUUUAAGUGUAUUGAUUUACAAUGUUGUUAGUUUCAGGUGUACAGCAAAGUGAUUCAAAUAUAUUUACAAUUCUUUUUUUUUUUCAGAU